rnacentral:lncRNA from 1 species
CUGUGGUAUGAGCGGGAUGUAACUACCUCAAAAAUACAAGGAGAACUUGGACGUUACAAGCGAAGGCGCUCUGUCUUCCCGACUCUAACUUCCCGUCAGUGGCGGCGGCAGCCUUUAAAAGGGGGGGGGGGGAAUUUACGAGCGGCAAAGGCACGAGGCACUUCUAGGGGGGGCCGGGGGCAUGCCCCCCCCGGAAAAUUUUUGAAAUCUAGGGUAAGAUUAUACAGAAUUCCGAAGAUUAUAAAGUGAACAAAUCACACGAUAUUUUCAUGAUUAUAUACGUAUAUAUAAAAACUAUGACUUUACUUUGAUGGGAAAAUUGAAGUCAACAUAAUUUUAUAUUUAAAUAUAUUAAGUUAUUAACCCAUUAUGGUGGGUUUCCUUCGGCGGUCGAAAUCAGCGCCUGUAAUAUGCUAAUGGUAAAUACCGCAUAUAUGAAAUAAUGAAAUGGUCUUUUGUCAAAAGUAAAUCUUUUAAUACCGGUUUUUAUUCACAUAACUGGACUGAUGUCACAUACGUACCCCCCUCCCCCCAUUUUUCUCACCGGAUUUGGACAAAUUAGAAAAUUGACCUUGAAGAGAACUGGGGGGGACGUGUCCUCCCCAGUCCUCCCCGUGGCGCCGCCACUGCUUCCCGUUAGUAGGCCAACGAAGGGUCUUCGCUCGAAACGUCCAAGUUCUCCUUGUAUUUUCAGUUGUUGUAUCCCUAUCCAUCCACAGUUGUAUUGUUGUCGUCACUACCUACAUCAUGGGCAGAUUUACUGGGGGGGGGGGGGCGUAUUAACCCCCCUAGAACCUCUCCAACUCCUGUUAUAAAGUGUUCAACCCCACCAAAACUUCGCUUCACCCCUCCUUUAGCCUAAACCCUGCCGAACCUCGCGCAGUGGUGCCACUUGCACUCCACUAGAAAUUUUUCCACCCCUCCUUUAAAACAAUGAAAAUCCGCCCUUGACCUACAUGGUAAUGUCUAAAAUGGAUGGACGAGAAGUAGUUUACGAGAUGGUUCCAAAAUUGAAAUACGAAUUUGCGUAUAGUAUUAUAGGGUUAGUAGGCCUACUUUGGGGGCCAAGGUCGACGUUAUUGUGCAACAUUGUGCGACAUUAAUUAAUUAGCAAUUUUCAAAGAAAAGUAGUAUGCGUCGCUGGGCGAAAAUGGGCGACAUUAGGCGAAUAGACUGUUAGGUAAAGUUCUAAAAUUGGGUGCGCAUGGGCGAAAUUAGGAGAACUUGUCCCCAAAGUAGGCCUAUGUUCGACAUAAGCAUUCAACAUAGAUGUUUAUACUUUUAUACCGUUGAAUAUCUUUGCCAUAAGCAUUCAACUUAGAUAUUUAUGCCGGUUAGCCGUUGAAUAUGUCCGGCAUAAACAUUCAGUUUAGAUGUUUAUGCCGCUGAAUAUGUUCGUCAUAAACAUUCAGUUUAGAUGUGUAUGCCCUUGAAUGUGUUCGGCAUAAACAUUCAACUUAGAUGUUCAUACCGUUAAUAUGUUCGCCAUAAACAUUCAGUUUAGAUGUUUAUGCCCUUGAAUGUGUUCGGCAUAAACAUUCAACUUAGAUGUUCAUGCCGCUGAAUAUGUUCGCCAUAAACAUUCAGCUUAG